rnacentral:lncRNA from 1 species
GGUUCAAACAAUACAGAAGUGUAUAAAGUAAGAAUUGAAAGUCUCUUCGCUGCUCUAAUCUCACUCCUCAGAGGUGAUCACUGAUUAUCAUCCCAGAGCCCUGAAGCCCACACACAGCUUCUUCAGGAAAUGCUGACAACAUGUGUGGAAGAUGAUCAAAGUAUGACGUUUCUUCUACCCCAGAGGUUGGCAUUUCUGCAGGCACAAAUGAGCUUGGUUUUCAAGCACCAGUCUUUGAGCACAAGGAAUUCCUUUAAUGAUCACGGGCUAGAUAGACUUUGGAAUCAGACUCUUUGAAUUCCAGCUCUGCCAUUUACCAACUUUGACACUUUGGAUAGGGUCUCAUUCUGUCAGCCAGGCUGGAGUGCAGUGGCACUAUUAUAGCUCACUGCAGCCUCAAAUGCCUGGGCUCAGGCAGUCUUCCCACCUCUGCCUCCUGAGUAGUUGGGACUACAGGUUUUAUGUUUCUAUUAAUGCAGUCUAAAGGGUUUUGGAAAUCUGGAUUGUAGUGGGGCAUUGUAUGU